CGUUUUUGCAGGAAAACUCGGGGGCGUUACACGGAAUCUAGUAGUCCUGAUCUUUGCAAGCCGCAAGCAAACUCUACGCUAAUAAGAGAAUAAUAGCGUUUCGUUAUGGAAUAGGGUACGACUGGCAGAAAAAAACAUGUAUGCGAUGCGUUGAGAAGAGCAUUUUUGUCGACAAUCUCGGGGGCAGCACGUUGGAAUAGGCGCAAAAGAUCAACUGUACUUCUUUGGCUGCUCGCUUAAAUGUCAACGAGUUGUCUGGGAUUAUAUUUGCAACCAAUGAACGCCUAAUAAUAAAUUUGCACCGUGAGAGUAGGGACUUGAACGUCGUUAGAUCCGGUCUCAUAUCCUAGUGUGCAGUCCUUGUAAUUGCACAACAACCGCUGUACUGUAACUCGUUGGAUUUUUCGUCUGAUCAUUCCGACAAUACAUAGGAUCC